GUAAGUAUAGUUUAAAAAAAACACUAGCUUGUGGAGCCAGCAACAGAAGAUAAAAACUUCUUGCUUACC